rnacentral:misc_RNA from 1 species
AACGCACCUUGCGCUCCUUGGUAUUCCGAGGAGCAUGCCUGUUUGAGUGUCAUUAAAUCCUCAACCCACCUUUCCUUGUGAAUGAGUGGCGUUGGAUGUGGAAGUUUGCUGGCUUUACCAGUCAGCUCUUCUGAAAUGUAUUAGCAGGGCCGCUGUAUUGCGAUGCUGCCACUCGGUAUUGAUAGUUGUCUUACCAGGUGUCUGAGAUAGCAAUGUGCCCCAGCUUCUAGUUGUCUCUCUGGGACAAUAAUUGACGAUUUGACCUCAAAUCAGGUAGGACUACCCGCUGAACUUAA